CGGCCGGGCAGGUCCGUCGGGAAAUCCACUGGCUCAACCAGUGGGCGUCCGGCGGAAACCGCUCGGCUUGGGACCGGGAGACCAGAGGGGUACGUCCGGGGUAGGAGUGAAAUCCCGUAAUCCUGGACGGACCACCGGUGGCGAAAGCGCCUCUGGAGAACGGAUCCGACGGUGAGGGACGAAAGCUAGGGUCUCGAACCGGAUUAGAUACCCGGGUAGUCCUAGCCGUAAACGAUGCUCGCUAGGUGUGGCGCAGGCUACGAGCCUGCGCUGUGCCGUAGGGAAGCCGUGAAGCGAGCCGCCUGGGAA
rnacentral:rRNA from 1 species